CGGACACGACUGAGCAAUUGAACUGACUGACUGAGGUUGAUUAUAUUGCUCAACCUUGAAGAAUUACCCUUUUCUAGGAGAUGUCCGUUGUGUCCCAGCAGGGUACUCCCGUUUUGUUUCCAUAUUUAUCUGCUCUAGGGGUUUUCUCUAUGAGGGCUGCAUGGAUCUUUCUGCUGUGGGCACUCUGGUAGGCUUGUUGGUCCCCAGUUCUUUUGAUUUCUAAAUUCUGCCUUGUGUGUAUGCUGACAGUUCACUGGUUGGCAGGACUGGGUCAAGAGGCAACUGACUGCAGAACCCAGGAAAGGCCAUGUCCCGAGGCAGUUGUAGGCUCAGAGGAUCUUAAGGCAGCCUAUCACCUGGUGGGUGGGUCUGUGCACCAAGUUAGUUGCUUGAUUUGAGGCAAUUCAAAACUAGCACCUAUAGAAUAUUAGUCCAGGACUGCUCUGAGUCCUGGGGCCAAUAAGCAAAAGGAAAAUUCCAACAUGGCACUUGCCAAGGCUAAUAUCCACAUGGCAGAAGGAACUCCCAAAAUAGCUGCUCCCAGUGUGAGCUGCAGUUGACUGCUGCCUCUCCAGGAGACUCUCUAGGAUCAGGAGGUAGGUGGGUCUGACCUAGGCUCUUGCUGAAUUACUGCUUCUCUCCUGACUUCUAGAUCAUGCAAGAUUUUGUGUGUGCCAUUUAAGAGUGAAGUCUCUAUUUCCCCCAUCCUUCUGGGACUCUUAAAAUUAUUUCCCACUGGCUUCAAAGUCAAAUGCUCUGGGGAAUCAUUUUCCUGGUACAGGAUCUCUGGACUAUGGAUUUAAUGACCAACAUUAAAUCACAGGAUGAUUAUCAUCACUAAAACUGAAAAUGAUCUCUGAAAUUGGAGCUAAAUAUUAUUUAGCUAACAAAGCACAUGGCAGCUAUAAACUAAACAGUGAUUCAAAAUUUGACAAAAGUAACUGUUGCCAUUAAACCUUAGAUAUGACAUGUAUAGAAAUGAAAUGGUACGGGGAGGGAGGUGGGAGGGGGGUUCAGGGUGGGUAACACGUGUACACCCAUGGUGGAUUCAUGUUGACGGAUGGCAAAACCAAUACAAUAUUGUAAAGUAAUUA
rnacentral:lncRNA from 1 species